ensembl:lncRNA
CAAGAAUCAACACCUGUGACCAGCAACAGGAACACUGAGAGCACCACAUGGUUUGCAGUCCAAGAAAUCCUGACAGUUCAUUAUGUUACGCAUGGUCCUGGACCUGGAGAAAGCCUUUCAAUUCUGCUGGACCUUUCUGUCCCAGAGAUCCAUGGCUGGGCUCGAAACGCCACCACUGGUUAUGUUUGGCUGGGCCUCUGCUAUGGCUGCAGCCUGGACACUUGGUACUGGCUCAGAGGAGAGACGGUGUGCUAUGAAAACUGGGCACCGGGGCGCGGGAACGGGAGGGACGCCUGUGGGACAGGAUGGAGAGUGGGAGCCAUAGAGGCCCGAGGAGACCAGCAGUGGGUCAGCCUGCCGGACACAGAGAAGCACAACUUCAUUUGCAGCACCUAUGAAGAUGAAUAAACCAUCAGGCAAACUAACAUCAGGCACAACAAGCUUUCAGUCAAUAACUUUUAGACAGAGUGGUGAUGGGACUGCAUUAUGUUGAUGCCUUUUUAUCUUCUAUCUUUUAUCUUCUUUUUUUGUUAUCCAGGUAUCGUAUCGAUUACAGAAUUCACUGAUGGUUAACUUUUCUCAAACUCAUUUGUUAAUUGCUCACCCUUACCCGAACUGUCAGUAACAUCUAGCUAUUGUUUGAUAGCUAACUGUAGUCUAUACCUAUCAUAUGAAAUAAUAGGCCUAUUUGAAAAUGAUAGUUUAAACAUUUUUAGUCUCAGGGCAGGAGGCAUAUUGCUGUUGGAUGUUCAUGUGCUGUGAGUGGGUGCAUGACAGACCUUGACUCCAAGCCAUAUUUUUUGCUUUUUCAAGAGUGCUUUGAAUAUUAAUUGUAGGUUUUGAUAACAUUUUACUAAAUAUGUAGUUUUGGUUAACAAAAAGACACAUUUUUUUUACAAAAUUGUAACUGUAAGCUAUAUGCAUUUUUAUGAAGGAUGUACAACUGUAUAAAUGUGUAAGAAAAAUUGCAAAUACAAAAUGUAGUAAAGUAACUUCUUUUCAGAGUACUUCUUCUACAAGGUAGUGACUCAGGGAAGUGAACCGAAAUGGAGGUUGUGAAAAAUGUAUUACGAAUGUGAACAGUAAAACAGAUUUCAUUUCACCUUUUUUAAUAAAUCGGGAAUCUUUUAAUUCUCAAACUCUAAAUUCACAUAUGUAAUGCACACAUUAAUGCUUUUUUUUUUACUGUUGGUUUUAUGGACCAUAAUAAGAG